AUUUGCAUGGAAUUUACAGCUCCGGAAAAAAUUAAGAGACCACUGCACCUUUUUCUUUCCUUUACAAAAAAGUAGAAAUGGAAGACUUUGAGCGAGGACCAGAAGCGUUCAAUUUGCAGUGGUCUCUUAAUUUUAACCCUUCUGUUCCUCACUCAAAACCUUCAUUUUCAACUUUUUUGGAAAGUAAAGAAAAAGGUGCAGUGGUCACUUAAUUUCUUCCGGAGCUGUAUGUUGAUGUUUUUAGUCUUUCAGCAGAUACUUAUAUGCAUAUAUUUGAUUUCACUUAAUAAUAAGCACCCUCCUCACAAAUUAGUAUUUCUGUCACUCUAGAGUUGCUGGCCAUGUUUAACCCUGCAAUGACCAAUACACUUCCUGCUCAGACAAACCUGUAUUCUGAAUCCUCACAGCACAGGGCUCUUGUUGACCAGGCAAAGGAACUAUCACUCUCCUUCAGGAGUAACCAGGCCAUUAAACCAGAGGACUGGAAGCUAGUAAUGCUGUUCGUUCAGGUGGAUGAACUCUGUGUAUGUCAGGGGCAGGUCAGUAACACUAACCUUACACAUAUCUGGAUUUCAAUUAAAGUCCACUUCUAAUGACCCCACAAUCUUUCAGAUAGGAAACCUAUGAUUUUGAAAUCAAAAUAUUGUGCAAAAGAUCUGUCAUAA
ensembl:lncRNA